rnacentral:lncRNA from 1 species
UUGUUUGGUGCUGAUACAACAUUGACUUUUCCCAUAAUUUAGCUUAGAGUGUUUUACACUGGGGAGUUCCAAUGUGUUUAAAUUGUAAAACUUUUUCCGAGCAUUUUUGUAGCAGAACUCCAUGUUCUAAUAGCCCCGGCAAAGUUGUUUUUAAUACUUUUUCUCUACGAAUUUUCAUUAAAAUUUAAUUCCAUUUUAACUUUGUCAAUUUUCCCCAAAGAUAAAUUAAGACACACAGAGAGAUUGUCAUUUCCUGUUUGAAGUCUCAUUCCUGUGUACAAUGUCAGUCUUUUUUAUUUAGGCCUAUGCCAUUCCAUCAGGGUAAAUAACUUUCUAACUAGUCAUUUAAGAGCAACUCCCGGGAAACUGUGAUGCAAUCCCACAUAUCAGCCAGCAUACUUUGUGCAGAAUGAAUUGUUAAGUGCAUCUAUAGAAAACGAAUGAUUGGUAUUCAGCCAAGCUUUGCCUAUGUCUUUCCAUGACCAAAAACAAGUCAGACUUCAAAAGCUGCCAGAUUAUUGUGAAAGGAGAAACACUGUUUUCGAAGGCUGCUGAUAAUGCCUAUUAGCCAGAAGAAAGAGCCUGAAUCAUUCAAAGGUUUUCCAUCUAGUAAAGAAGUGUGGUAAAAAUCUUGCCCAGAUCUGCAUGUGCUAAGCAUCUACGUAAGUUGGAGCAUCAUAUUAAUGACACCCAGUGAAGAAACGAAAGAAUGAAGUGUAAUUACUAUAUCAAAAAUCCACAGAAUGUGAAAGUAUAAAGGAAAACUCUCAGGUGAGACUCGAUUAUUUUUAUUUCAAAGAUCUAGGUAAAAAUGUGAACAGAUUGGGAGGCUGAGGCAGGAGAAUCACUUGAACCCAGGAGGCAGAAGUUGCAGUGAGCCAAGAUUGCACCAUUG